UAGAGUGCGUUCGGGGCAGAAGGAAUUCCUGGUGUAGCGGUGAAAUGCGUAGAUAUCAGGAAGAACACCGGUGGCGAAAGCGUUCUGCUAGGCCGCAACUGACACUGAGGGACGAAAGCUAGGGGAGCGAAUGGGAUUAGAUACCCCAGUAGUCCUAGCCGUAAACGAUGGAUACUAGGUGUGGCUUGUAUCGACCCGAGCCGUACCGUAGCUAACGCGUUAAGUAUCCCGCCUGGGGAGUACGCACGCAAGUGUGAAACUCAAAGGAAUUGACGGGGGCCCGCACAAGCGGUGGAGUAUGUGGUUUAAUUCGAUGCAACGCGAAGAACCUUACCAAGACUUGACAUCCUGCGAAUCUCGGCGAAAGCUGAGAGUGCCUUAGGGAGCGCAGAGACAGGUGGUGCAUGGCUGUCGUCAGCUCGUGUCGUGAGAUGUUGGGUUAAGUCCCGCAACGAGCGCAACCCUCGUUUUUAGUUGCCAGUAUUAAGUUGGGCACUCUAGAGAGACUGCCGGUGACAAACCGGAGGAAGGUGAGGAUGACGUCAAGUCAGCAUGCCCCUUACGUCUUGGGCUACACACGUACUACAAUGCUACGGACAAAGGGCAGCAAGCUAGUGAUAGCAAGCAAAUCUCGUAAACCGUAGCUCAGUUCAGAUCGAAGGCUGCAACUCGCCUUCGUGAAGGAGGAAUCGCUAGUAAUUGCAGGUCAGCAUACUGCAGUGAAUUCGUUCCCGGGCCUUGUACACACCGCCCGUCACACCAUGGAAGUUGGUCACGCCCGAAGUCAUUACCCCAACCUUUGGGAGGGGGAUGCCUAAGGUAGGACUGGUGACUGGGGUGAAGUCGUAACAAGGUAGCCGUACCGGAAGGUGCGGCUGGAUCACCUCCUU
rnacentral:rRNA from 1 species